rnacentral:rRNA from 1 species
UACGGAGGGGGCGAGCGUUAUUCGGAAUUAUUGGGCGUAAAGGGCGCGUAGGCGGCUGAACAAGUCAAAGGUGAAAUCCCUCGGCUCAACUGAGGAACUGCCUUUGAAACUGUUCGGCUUGAGGCUGGGAGGGGGUAGCGGAAUUCCCAGUGUAGCGGUGAAAUGCGUAGAUAUUGGGAGGAACACCAGUGGCGAAGGCGGGUCUCUGGGCCGUAACUGACGCUGAGGAGCGAAAGCGUGGGGAGCGAACAGG